rnacentral:lncRNA from 1 species
GUUUAUUAUUGUUUAUUGUGUAUGUAAAACUUGUUUGUAAAAUGUGUUAAUUGAUCAAAAUUAAGUAGUAUAAAAUAUGUAGGCCUACCUUUCGUUUUGUCCUCAUUCAAAAUUAUUUCAGAAUUUCCUAACACAUUUCACUUGUGUUAUACUGUUUAUUUCAGGGGCCGAUUGUAUAAAAUUCUUAAUCAUUUUUUUAAUCACUAUUUUGUAGUUAAAUAGUGAUUAACUCUCAAAUAUGCGCUUUUUAUUGGAUGACAUCUCCACUUAACUAUGAUCACUUUUUUAUACAACCGGCCCCAGGAAGUUAAUUUGAACCAAAUAUUUCUCCACAUUUGGAAUUAAAAUUGGUUCAAAAUAACUCUAACCGGUAUAUAUUAAUUUGUAUAUAUCAUUUUAUUUGUCAGAAUUUGUUGUUCUAUUCUUCAAAUGUUUGUUGUAUUGUAUGUCACAAUGUCUUGUCAAAGAUUUGUUGUGUUAUAUGUGGUCGUCUUCAACCUAUAUGAACAAGUUCUGUGAUUGAUUGAUUGAUUGAUUAUAACAAUGAAACACAAUAAAACUGCAGUUUUGUCCUCGAUACAACGCAAGUAUGAUCGCAAUGAUAAUAAACAAGCAGAACGCUUUGAUGUUCUUAUGUUUGUGUUUUCACUAUGUCCUCACUACAACGCAAGAUAAAGCGCAAGCAUAAACAACAACAUAAGCGAAAAGAACACAUCAGAAAUCAAUACGUUUGAUCCUUAAUUCUUGUGCUUUAAUUUGUUUGCGUCGCAGUUAGUACAAGACUUUAAAGAAUAGAUUUUCUAAAGAAAGAAUCAAAAAUGCUCAUCACAUUUGUUCAAGCAAACCAAUCACAAAAAUUGUUCAUUUGAGGUUGAUAUUUCCUCAGUUAUAUGUCAGUCAUUUGUUAUCUUCCUUUCUCUCGUGGAAUUGUCUUUCCAAGACACGACUUCCUUGACAUUGCCAGUGACAGUUGAGUUGUGAUUAUCUCUUCCAAAUCAAGUU